GCUCCAGUAGCUCAGCGGUUAGAGCGUGCGAUUGCAGUCCAGCUAAUAUCGCAAUGUCCCUUGUUCGAAUCAGGGUUGGAGCU